UGGGGCCGCCUCGGCCCCGCCCCCUCGCCGCGGUGCCUGAGGGCUCGGUCGGGGGGAGGCGGUGGGAGACGCUCUGAGGGUCCCCCAGCGCCCGCCCUGCGCCCCCGGCCCCGGGGCCUCUUCCUUGCCGAUCACCGCCUCCUGCCGUCCCCGCCGCCUUUGUCUCCUUCCUAGAGCCACUGGCUGAUGGGGCAGCGCGGGACGCUGACCCCGGCGCUGCGGUCCGCCGCGAGCGGCGCGGCCGGUGUGUCCCGGCUGCGAGGGCUACGGCAGCCGUGAGUUAGCAAGGUCACAGAGGCCUCGGUGAGCCGUCAGACUGCUCCUCACCACCCACACCUAGCCCUCGGCCCCGAACAAGAAGCUGGUGCUGGUUCACGUGGACCGAUGGGGUCCGGUGUCCGCGGGUGAGAAACAGCAGCGGCCUUGGUGUGGUCCCUGCGAGCUCGGUGAGCUGGAGACCUGUCUGGACAGCUGGCACUGUAGUGGAUGCGGGUCUGCUUGCUGGCAAAUGGUGGGGCUGGUCUGGUUCCUUCUUCAGGGUGGUGUUGGUGAAGGUGGCUACAGGAGCCCCUGCCUAUCUGCAUAGAAUCAUAGAACCAUGGAACAGCCCAGGCUUGAAGGGAGCUGGCAAGAUCAUUGGUCAGACUACUGUGGGAGAAAGACUAGGUUGCUGAAUUGUCGGCAUCUUUGGAAUAGUUGGACACCUCCAGUGACAUAUGGAUGUGCUGCACACAUUGCUGGUGCCCUGUGCAAGGUCAAGUGCUUGGAAAGAAGCCCAAACAGCUUCCUGGCUCAGGAAAUGUGGACACAGAGUGAGCAGGACAUUGGGGUGAUGAAGAGAAAAGAGGACUGACCCUCCAUGGCCUGCAAGGGAUGAAGCAGCACUACUGGACUACUUUCUUUGCUGUGGUAGGAACACAAACUGGUGAUGGAUUUUGAUCUGACUGGUACACAAGGAUGUCUUCAGGGUGAGGCUGAGUACAAUACAGGGGUUUCCCCACUUUUGUGCUGGCUGGAGAUGCACCACCCCAGAGCACAAACUUGUCUUUGCUUGGGUGCCCAGAGCGAUUUGUGCCCAUUACACAGCAUGAAUACUUUGUAAGACCAAAGCAGCUCUGCUUACUGAUGUCCUUGUACUUGAUGUGGUACAUGAAGAUUGGUUCUAUUGAUUAGCACUAAAAUGUUUUCUCUGCCUAUUUUUGCCUAUUCCAAAGAAGGUUCUGCUGGCUAAAGCCAAACAAAGUAUUUUGUACCAUUCCCCCCAGCUAGCUGCAAUAGCCUCGAUGUAAUUCCCUUGUGAUUUCCCUAUGGCAUUACUUUUGCCACGUUCCUGGACUCCCUGAGCCUGACACUAAGCACAAGGAUUUUGACUGUAACAAAAGGAGUGAGUUCACCAAGUAUUGCUUCACAAGGAGGAAAUUAAAAUAAAAUUAAAUAAAAUAAAAUUUUAAAAAAUUAA